rnacentral:lncRNA from 1 species
GGCUCCUCAUCCUUCAAACAGGUCACAGCAGGGAAAGAGAACAGGCAUGAAGAUCUGGGAGAGUUGGUGUAUACAUUUAUUGAAGCCUUUACUUCAUGCCAGGUGCUAGAAUGAUCUAGAAUCUUCACUCCCAUGCUUAGAGAGCUACUGGGCUAAGAAAAUGUGGUCCAUAGGCUGGGCGCAGUGGCUUGCACCUGUAAUCCCAGCACUUUGGGAGGCCGAGGCGGGCAGAUUACCUGAAGUCAGGAGUUGGAGACCAGCCUGGCCAACAUGGUGAAACCCCGUCACUACUAAAAAUACAAAAAUUAACCGGGAGUGGUGGCACAUGCCUGUAAUCCCAGCUACCUGGGAGGCUGAGGCAGGAGAAUUGCUUGAGCCCAGGAGAUGGAGGUUGCAGUGAGCCAAGAUCAUGCCAUUGCACUCCAGCCUGGCUGAUGGGGCAAGACUCUGUCAAGAAAAGAAAGAGAGAAAGAAAGAAAGAGAAAGAAAGAAAGAAAGAGAGAGAGGGAGGGAGGGAGGGAAGGAAGGAAGGAAGGAAGAAAGAAAGAAAAGAAGGACAGAAGGAAAGAAGGAAGGAAGGAAGGAAGGAAAAUGUGGUCCAUCUAAAAGACAGAGCUUUAUCAAAGUCAUUGCCACCUGCUCUGAAAGGUUGUGCUAAGAAGGAAAUACAGGCCAGGCACAGUGACUCACACCUGUAAUCUCAGCACUUCAGGAGGCUGAGGCGGGCAGAUCACAUGGUCAAGAGAUCGAGAUCAUCCUGGCCAACAUGGUGAAACUCUGUCUCAAAAAAAUAAAUAAAUAAAUAAAAUAACCUCCAUCUUUUGGUGGCCCCUUUACUGGCCUUAUUUCACUCAAUUGUUAGGACACCUUGUCUCUGUGAGAUGGGGCCUGCAAGGCCCAUUCACCAGAUAAAAAAUCUUGG